rnacentral:rRNA from 1 species
UCAGCUUGUUGGUGAGGUAAUGGCUCACCAAGGCGACGACGGGUAGCCGGCCUGAGAGGGUGACCGGCCACACUGGGACUGAGACACGGCCCAGACUCCUACGGGAGGCAGCAGUGGGGAAUAUUGCACAAUGGGCGAAAGCCUGAUGCAGCGACGCCGCGUGAGGGAUGACGGCCUUCGGGUUGUAAACCUCUUUCAGCAGGGAAGAAGCCACAAGUGACGGUACCUGCAGAAGAAGCGCCGGCUAACUACGUGCCAGCAGCCGCGGUAAUACGUAGGGCGCAAGCGUUGUCCGGAAUUAUUGGGCGUAAAGAGCUCGUAGGCGGUUUGUCGCGUCUGCUGUGAAAGCCCGGGGCUUAACCCCGGGUGUGCAGUGGGUACGGGCAGACUAGAGUGCAGUAGGGGAGACUGGAAUUCCUGGUGUAGCGGUGGAAUGCGCAGAUAUCAGGAGGAACACCGAUGGCGAAGGCAGGUCUCUGGGCUGUUACUGACGCUGAGGAGCGAAAGCAUGGGGAGCGAACAGGAUUAGAUACCCUGGUAGUCCAUGCCGUAAACGUUGGGCACUAGGUGUGGGGGACAUUCCACGUUUUCCG